CGUAUAUGUAAUUGAUAUUAGCUAUUCAUGAGUAUUCCUUAAAGUGCUAUUUUAYGCUAUUCUGUAAAGCACGGUUUUUACAUAACGCACAAAUGAGUCCUGAAUCUCGUGUGAGGUUUGAUGUGUUAACUAUAAGAACAGAAUUUUGGAUUUAAGCUAAAUAUAGCAAGGUGAUCAUCAUCAUGGCCAGCCCAAACAACGUAUCUACAUUGACAAAACAAUGCCAAGAUAACCAGACAGUUUGCAUAGACUUAGAUGAUCUACGCAAAGAACUGGCUGAAAAUGCAGGUGUGAUGGUAGUGGUUACCAUAGUGAUUAUAGUCUGGCUUAUGGUGUUCUUAGUAGCUCUCAAAAACAUGGACAAGCCUCCAAAGAACAAGACAGAUGAUGAGGACGAAAAGAACACUAAACCAGAAGCAGUCAAUGUUUAAUGUUGGGUCGAGAUGAAAUAGCAAUUACCAAAUUAAGCAGGCGUGAGAUCUUUUGAAACGUCGAUCAGUGAUGAAUUUGCUACAGCUGAUGAAGUUUUUGAUGGCUAAAAUGACUGAGAUGAUGAAUUAUGAUAAUGAUUAAAACGAGGAGGACCGCCAUAUUGUUUACGAUGUAUUGCUGAAUAACAAGGACAAUGAGAUGAUGGCAAUGAGGACGACGAUGAUUUCACUUUUUUCUCCAAAGAUUUAUAUUGGAUUUUACUAAAGUGACUGCUCCAAGAGUUCUCAAGGACGUGACAUAUCACURAUAUGAACAUUUUUGACAUUUUUAAUUCUUUGAAUCGCCACUUUGCUAUCUUACAAUUAAAAUCGUACGUGUUAACUGCCCUGCGAUUGUUGCGAGGAUGGAAAAUCGUCGCGAAGUUGCAGCCAAUUUCAAGCAUUAUGUUCGAAACUCAGGCGAUGGUCGCACGACGAUCGCCGCGAGAAUCGCUCUGCAAAAAUCACAAGUGUAAACGAACCUUUAAAGUCUCACGUGAAUCCAAGACGCUUUCCGAAGUCUUCUCUUGUUUUAGAAAUGAUCUCUUGCUGACAGGUGCUUGCUGAUUGGCUCAUAAUCAAAGACGGGAAAGUUUUAUAAUAUACGAAAAUUUCCCGUCUUUGAUUAUGAGCCAAUCAGCAAGCACCUGUCAGCAAGAGAUCAUUAGAAAAAUCGCGCAAAGGAUGAUCGAUCUUGGAUGCACGUAGACAGUUAAAAGAUUAAAUUCUCUUUUCUAUUAACCAGGGAUAGAUAAUUAACUACUAAUAAUAGUAGUUGAAUUGAGGAAAUUAUGCUGUGAUAGUAUCAAUUACUAAUACUAAUAAUAAUUAAUAAAAAUUCAUGCAGUAAA